rnacentral:rRNA from 1 species
GGAUGAACGUUGGCGGCGUGCCUAAUACAUGCAAGUCGAACGAAGACUGUAGUAAUACUGUCUUAGUGGCGAACGGGUGAGUAACGCGUGGGUGACCUGCCCCGAAGUGUGGGAUAACAGUCCGAAAGGAUUGCUAAUACUGCAUAAUAUCCAAGAGAUUAGAUGCUUUUGGAUUAAAGGAGUAAUUCGCUUCGGGAGGGGCCCGCGUCCCAUCAGCUAGUUGGUAAGGUAAUGGCUUACCAAGGCGAUGACGGGUAGGGGACCUGAGAGGGUGGCCCCCCACAAUGGAACUGAAACACGGUCCAUACACCUACGGGUGGCAGCAGUAGGGAAUAUUAGUAAUGGGCGAAAGCCUGAACUAGCAACGCCGCGUGUGCGAUGAAGGCCUUCGGGUCGUAAAGCACUUUUUGGAAGGAAUAGGAAGGAAUGUACUUCCAGAAUAAGUCUCGGCUAACUACGUGCCAGCAGCCGCGGUAACACGUAGGAGGCAAACGUUAUCCGGAUUUACUGGGCGUAAAGCGCGUGUAGGUGGUACUGUAAGUAGGGCGUGAAAGCUCCUGGCUCAACUGGGAGAGGCCGUUCUAAACUACAGAACUAGAGGAUGGUAGAGGGAGGUGGAAUUCCAGGUGUAGCGGUGGAAUGCGCAGAUAUCUGGAGGAACACCGGUGGCGAAGGCGGCCUCCUGGACCAUUCCUGACACUCAGACGCGAAAGCUAGGGUAGCAAACGGGAUUAGAGACCCCGGUAGUCCUAGCCCUAAACGAUGUAGACUAGGCGUCGGAAGUUUAAUCACUUUCGGUGUCCAAGCUAACGCAUUAAGUUAUCCGCCUGGGGAGUACGGUCGCAAGAUUAAAACUCAAAGGAAUUGACGGGGGCCUGCACAAGCGGUGGAGCAUGUGGUUUAAUUCGAAGCAACGCGCAGAACCUUACCAACGUUUGACAUCCUUAUCGCGAUUAGAGGAGACUCUUUUCUUCAGUUCGGCUGGAUAAGUGACAGGUGCUGCAUGGCUGUCGUCAGCUCGUGUCGUGAGAUGUUGGGUUAAGUCCCGCAACGAGCGCAACCCUCGACUUUAGUUACCAUCAUUUAGUUGGGUACUCUAAAGUAACCGCCGGUGAUAAGCCGGAGGAAGGUGGGGAUGACGUCAAGUCCUCAUGGCCCUUACGCGUUGGGCUACACACGUGCUACAAUGGCGACUACAGUGGGCUGCUACCUCGCGAGAGGGUGCUAAUCUCCAAAAGUCGUCUCAGUUCGGAUUGUUCUCUGCAACUCGAGAGCAUGAAGGCGGAAUCGCUAGUAAUCGCGCAUCAGCCACGGCGCGGUGAAUACGUUCCCGGGCCU